rnacentral:tRNA from 1 species
GGAGACGUGGCCGAGAGGUCGAAGGCACUCCCUGCUAAGGAGCAUGCGGGCAAAACCUGCAUCGAGGGUUCGAAUCCCUCCGUCUCCGCCA